rnacentral:rRNA from 1 species
UACGUAGGGUGCGAGCGUUGUCCGGAAUUAUUGGGCGUAAAGAGCUUGUAGGCGGUUUGGCGCGUCUGCUGUGAAAAUCCGGGGCUCAACCCCGGACUUGCAGUGGAUACGGGCAGACUAGAGUGUGGUAGGGGAGACUGGAAUUCCUAGUGUAGCGGUGAAAUGCGCAGAUAUCAGGAGGAACACCGAUGGCGAAGGCAGGUCUCUGGGCCACUACUGACGCUGAGAAGCGAAAGCAUGGGGAGCGAACAGG